GGCUGAUCUGAAGAUGAUGAGUUAUCUCAAUUGAUUGUUCAGUUACACAUCCAACUCCUUGCUCUAUUCUUUCCUCUCUUCUCACUACUGUACUUGGCUAGGAAAA
rnacentral:Y_RNA from 1 species